CACGUGAGGGUGCGAGCGUUGUCCGGAAUUAUUGGGGCGUAAAAGGAGCUCGGUAGGUCGGUGUGUCGCGUCGGCCGUCGAAAACCUGCAGCUUAACUGUGGGCGUGCGGUCGAUACGGGCAUCACUGGAGUUCGGCAGGGGGAGACUGGAAUUCCUGGUGUAGCGGUGAAAUGCGCAGAUAUCAGGAGGAACACCGGUGGCGAAGGCGGGUCUCUGGGCCGAUACUGACGCUGGAGGAGCGAAAGCGUGGGGAGCGAACAGG
rnacentral:rRNA from 1 species